rnacentral:rRNA from 1 species
AUUGAACGCUGGCGGCAUGCUUAACACAUGCGAGUCGAACGGCAACGCGGGGUUCGUCCUGGCGGCGAGUGGCGAACGGGCGAGUAAUGCACCGGAACGUGCCCAGCAGUGGGGGAUGGCACGGCGAAGGCCGGAUGGAUACCGCAUACGACCAGAGGGUGAAAGGGGGGGACCGAUAGGCAUCGCGGGAUUGGAGGGGCCGACGCCGGAUUAGCUAGUUGGUUGGGUAAAGGCUUACCAAGGCGACGAUCCGUAGCUGGUCUGAGAGGCCGACCGGCCACACUGGAACUGAGACACGGCCCAGACUCCUACGGGAGGCAGCAGUGGGGAAUUUUGGGCAAUGGGGGCAAGCCUGACCCAGCCACGCCGCGUGCGGGAAGAAGGCCUUCGGGUUGUAAACCGCUUUUGUUCGGGAAGAACACCUGUGGGCUAAUACCCCGGGGGGAUGACGGUACCGGAAGAAUAAGCACCGGCUAACUACGUG